AUUGAACGCUGGCGGCAUGCCUAACACAUGCAAGUCGAGCGGAUGAAUGGAGCUUUCUCCUGUCUUCAGCUGCGGACGGGUGAGUAAUGCCUAGGAAUCUGCCUGGUAUUUGGGGCUAACGUCCGGUCACGGGCGCUAAUACCGCAUACGUCCUGAGGGUGAAAGUGGGGGAUCUUCGGACCUCACCCUAUCAGAUGAGCCUAGGUCGGAUUAGCUAGUUGGUUGGGUAAAGGCCUACCAAGGCGACGAUCCGUAACUGGUCUGAGAGGAUGAUCAGUCACACUGGAACUGAGACACGGUCCAGACUCCUACGGGAGGCAGCAGUGGGGAAUAUUGGACAAUGGGCGAAAGCCUGAUCCAGCCAUGCCGCGUGUGUGAAGAAGGUCUUCGGAUUGUAAAGCACUUUAAGUUGGGAGGAAGGGAAGUAAGUUAAUACAUGGAUGUUUUGACGUUACCAACAGAAUAAGCAACGGCUGACUUCGUG
rnacentral:rRNA from 1 species